rnacentral:rRNA from 1 species
CACGUAGGGUGCGAGCGUUGUCCGGAAUUAUUGGGCGUAAAGGGCUCGUAGGCGGCCAACUAAGUCGGAUGUGAAAUCCCCAAGCUUAACUUGGGAACUGCAUCCGAUACUGGAUGGCUUGAAUCCGGGAGAGGGAUGCAGAAUUCCAGGUGUAGCGGUGAAAUGCGUAGAUAUCUGGAGGAAUACCGGUGGCGAAGGCGGCAUCCUGGACCGGCAUUGACGCUGAUGAGCGAAAGCUAGGGGAGCAAACGGG